rnacentral:rRNA from 1 species
GAUCAUGGCUCAGGACGAACGCUGGCGGCGCGCCUAACACAUGCAAGUCGAACGAGAGAGAAGGAGCUUGCUUCUUCGAUCGAGUGGCGAACGGGUGAGUAACGCGUGAGGAACCUGGCUCAAAGAGGGGGACAACAGUUGGAAACGACUGCUAAUACCGCAUAAGCCCAUGGGUCGGCAUCGACCUGAGGGAAAAGGAGCAAUCCGCUUUGAGAUGGCCUCGCGUCCGAUUAGUUAG